rnacentral:rRNA from 1 species
ACGUAUGGGGCGAGCGUUGUUCGGAGUUAUUGGGCGUAAAGGGCGUGUAGGCGGCUCGACAAGUCUGGUGUGAAAGCGCAGGGCUCAACCCUGCGUAGGCGCUGGAAACUGUCGGGCUUGAGUUUCGAGGGGGAAGCUGGAAUUCCUGGUGUAGGGGUGAAAUCUGUAGAUAUCAGGAAGAACACCGGUGGCGAAGGCGAGCUUCUACUCGUGAACUGACGCUGAGGCGCGAAAGCGUGGGGAGCAAACAGGAUUAGAUACCCUGGUAGUCCACGCUGUAAACGAUGUGCACUAGGCGUGGGGCGCAGUGAGCGCUCUGUGCCGUAGCUAACGUGUUAAGUGCACCGCCUGGGGAGUAUGCUCGCAAGGGUG